GAAGUAAAGAUAAAAAAUAAAUAUAAAAGUAAAAUUAAGAAAAAAUUAAAAUAAAUUAAAAGUUGAAAUUUGAAAAUUAAAAGUUGAAUUAAAGUUAAGUCAAAAGUUAAAAGAUGAAGAGUAAGAGGAAAAAAAAUAAGCUAAAGAUGAAAAGAACUCACUUUAAUUAUGCUCCACUUGAGGGCAAUAGACUUCCUUCUAUUCCAAAAAAAUUCAAAAAUUUGGAUCAGCUUCAAAUUAAAUAAUUCUUGCUUGAUUGAAAUCCUAAUUUAAAGAUACUUGAUUGAAAACCUAACUUAAAGAUACUUGAUUGAAAACCUAACUUAAAGGUACUUGAUUGAAAACCUAACUUAAAGGUACUUGAUUGAAAAUCUAACUUAAAGGUACUUGAUUGAAAAUCUAACUUAAAAACACUUGUGCUUCAAAAAUCUUUAAAGCAAUCCAAUACUUGAGCCACGAGAAAUGUUCCUUCAAAGUUGAGUAUUUGGAAUUGCUAUGACAUUCUACCUCAUUCACUUGGAAAUUCACCAAAACUUAAAAUCGGCUUCAAUUU
rnacentral:lncRNA from 1 species